GUGAACGCUGGCGGCGUGGAUAAGGCAUGCAAGUCACGGGGACCGCAAGGUAACCGGCGAACGAGGUAGUAAUACGCAGGUACGCACCGAAAAGUCUGGCAUAGCUAUUCGAAAGAGUAGGUAAUUCCAGAUAGUCCCGUAAGGGUAAAGGAGCAAUCCGCUUUUUGAUCGGCCUGCGCGGCAUCAGCUAGUUGGUAAGGUAAUGGCUUACCAAGGCGACGACGCCUAGGGGACCUGAGAGGGUGACCCCCACCGAUGGGACUGCGACACGGCCCAUACAUCUACGGAUGGCUGCAGUCGAGAAUCUUCCACAAUGGACGAAAGUCUGAUGGAGCGACGCCGCGUGAUUGAUGAAGUGCUUCGGCACGUAAAGAUCUUUUAUGGGGGAGGAAGUAAUUGACGUUACCCCAUGAAUAAGAGGCUCCUAACUCUGU
rnacentral:rRNA from 1 species